GCCCGCCUAGCUCAAUCGGAUAGAGCGUCAGACUUUUACGAACCAACCAGUUCGCCGAAGGGAUCUGAAUGUUGCGAGUUCGAGCCUCGCGGUGGGCU